rnacentral:rRNA from 1 species
UACGAAGGGGCUAGCGUUGCUCGGAAUUACUGGGCGUAAAGCGCACGUAGGCGGACUCUUAAGUCGGUGGUGAAAUCCUGGAGCUCAACUCCAGAACUGCCUUCGAUACUGAGAGUCUUGAGUCCGGAGAGGUGAGUGGAACUGCGAGUGUAGAGGUGAAAUUCGUAGAUAUUCGCAAGAACACCAGUGGCGAAGGCGGCUCACUGGCCCGUACUGACGCUGAGGUGCGAAAGCGUGGGAGCAAACAGG